UACCACCAUGCAAGUCGAACGGGAUCCAUCAGGCUUUGCUUGGUGGUGAGAGUGGCGAACGGGUGAGUAAUGCGUGACCGACCUGCCCCAUACACCGGAAUAGCUCCUGGAAACGGGUGGUAAUGCCGGAUGCUCCGACUCCUCGCAUGGGGUGUCGGGAAAGAUUUCAUCGGUAUGGGAUGGGGUCGCGUCCUAUCAGGUAGUCGGCGGGGUAACGGCCCACCGAGCCUACGACGGGUAGCCGGCCUGAGAGGGCGACCGGCCACAUUGGGACUGAGAUACGGCCCAGACUCCUACGGGAGGCAGCAGUGGGGAAUAUUGCACAAUGGGCGCAAGCCUGAUGCAGCGACGCCGCGUGCGGGAUGACGGCCUUCGGGUUGUAAACCGCUUUUGAUCGGGAGCAAGCCUUCGGGUGAGUGUACCUUUCGAAUAAGCACCGGCUAACUACGUGCCAGCAGCCGCGGUAAUACGUAGGGUGCAAGCGUUAUCCGGAAUUAUUGGGCGUAAAGGGCUCGUAGGCGGUUCGUCGCGUCCGGUGUGAAAGUCCAUCGCUUAACGGUGGAUCUGCGCCGGGUACGGGCGGGCUGGAGUGCGGUAGGGGAGACUGGAAUUCCCGGUGUAACGGUGGAAUGUGUAGAUAUCGGGAAGAACACCAAUGGCGAAGGCAGGUCUCUGGGCCGUUACUGACGCUGAGGAGCGAAAGCGUGGGGAGCGAACAGGAUUAGAUACCCUGGUAGUCCACGCCGUAAACGGUGGAUGCUGGAUGUGGGGCCCGUUCCACGGGUUCCGUGUCGGAGCUAACGCGUUAAGCAUCCCGCCUGGGGAGUACGGCCGCAAGGCUAAAACUCAAAGAAAUUGACGGGGGCCCGCACAAGCGGCGGAGCAUGCGGAUUAAUUCGAUGCAACGCGAAGAACCUUACCUGGGCUUGACAUGUUCCCGACAGCCGUAGAGAUAUGGCCUCCCUUCGGGGCGGGUUCACAGGUGGUGCAUGGUCGUCGUCAGCUCGUGUCGUGAGAUGUUGGGUUAAGUCCCGCAACGAGCGCAACCCUCGCCCUGUGUUGCCAGCACGUCAUGGUGGGAACUCACGGGGGACCGCCGGGGUCAACUCGGAGGAAGGUGGGGAUGACGUCAGAUCAUCAUGCCCCUUACGUCCAGGGCUUCACGCAUGCUACAAUGGCCGGUACAACGGGAUGCGACACGGCGACGUGGAGCGGAUCCCUGAAAACCGGUCUCAGUUCGGAUUGGAGUCUGCAACCCGACUCCAUGAAGGCGGAGUCGCUAGUAAUCGCGGAUCAGCAACGCCGCGGUGAAUGCGUUCCCGGGCCUUGUACACACCGCCCGUCAAGUCAUGAAAGUGGGUAGCACCCGAAGCCGGUGGCCUAACCCUUUGUGGAUGGAGCCCGUUUAAGGGU
rnacentral:rRNA from 1 species